rnacentral:tRNA from 1 species
ACCUAGUUAGUUUAAUUGUUAAAACGUCAGUCUCCAAAACUGAAAGAUUCCAGUUAGAAUCUGGAGCUAGGUG